rnacentral:tRNA from 1 species
GGGCAUAGCUCAGUGGUAGAGCACAUGCUUAGCAUGCAUGAGGUCCCGGGUUCAAUCCCCAGUACCUCCA